rnacentral:pre_miRNA from 1 species
UGAGCUAAGGGCACAGAAGUAGAGCCUCACAUGGAGGGGUGCAAUGUGCUAGGGUAGCCAAGGAUGACUUGCCUUUGAUCACAAUGUGUGAGAGAGUGAAAUGGUUCUCCACCAGUGCUUUAUGAGCAAGUCGCCUUGGCUAACCUAAGGAUCUUGCCUCUCAUGUUAGGCCUUCUCUUCUUAUUCA